AAGCGAUAAGACUAAACCGUCAGCAAUGACGGGGCGGAUAGCUUAGGGUCUCUCUGAGACAGCCGGGUGCCGAA
rnacentral:ncRNA from 1 species